AGCUUUAUUUUACUAAUAAUAUAAAAAAGUAAUAAGAAAAAACAUUUUUAUUUAAAAAUUUUUAUGUUUCCUUUUUCGUAAUAUACUUUAUUAUUUUUAUCUUUGUAAAAAAUUUUAGUUUAAUCUAUGUAUAUACCGUUCGUGAUAUGAUAGUAAUGAUAGUAACACUUUAAAUAGAGCAAUACAGGGAAUUUUCUCUCUAUUACAACCAGACUCAUUGAAAGUUACACAACAGAAAUUGAAAUUGAAAACCAGAAAUGGCCAGUUUGAAAGUAUUAUUUUUGCUUUUGGCAACCAUUUUAAUGUUCCUGGCUCCUGCUAUUAAUGCUAGAUGUUCACCAAAUGGAACUCCAUGCCAACCCGAUGGAAGAACACCUUGUUGUACAGGAUUUUGUUACAAACAAGUAGGAUGGAGAAGAGGAGUUUGUUCUAUUCGAUAAAAAAAGCAACCUUUAUAUUUUAAUGUCACUCUGUUAAAAUUUAUAAAAUAUGUUUUGAUUUUUAAAUAAAAUGCAUUUAAUAUUCUUAAAAAA